CAGGACAAAUUAUGCAAGUUCUACUGGUUC
rnacentral:piRNA from 1 species